UACGUAGGGCGCAAGCGUUGUCCGGAAUUAUUGGGCGUAAAGAGCUCGUAGGCGGUCUGUCGCGUCGGAUGUGAAAGCCCGGGGCUUAACCCCGGGUCUGCAUUCGAUACGGGCAGACUAGAGUGUGGUAGGGGAGAUCGGAAUUCCUGGUGUAGCGGUGAAAUGCGCAGAUAUCAGGAGGAACACCGGUGGCGAAGGCGGAUCUCUGGGCCAUUACUGACGCUGAGGCGCGAAAGCUAGGGGAGCAAACAGG
rnacentral:rRNA from 1 species